rnacentral:rRNA from 1 species
ACGCCGAGUGAGUGAAGAAGGUUUUCGGAUCGUAAAGCUCUGUUGUAAGAGAAGAACGGGUGUGAGAGUGGAAAGUUCACACUGUGACGGUAUCUUACCAGAAAGGGACGGCUAACUACGUGCCAGCAGCCGCGGUAAUACGUAGGUCCCGAGCGUUGUCCGGAUUUAUUGGGCGUAAAGCGAGCGCAGGCGGUUAGAUAAGUCUGAAGUUAAAGGCUGUGGCUUAACCAUAGUACGCUUUGGAAACUGUUUAACUUGAGUGCAGAAGGGGAGAGUGGAAUUCCAUGUGUAGCGGUGAAAUGCGUAGAUAUAUGGAGGAACACCGGUGGCGAAAGCGGCUCUCUGGUCUGUAACUGACGCUGAGGCUCGAAAGCGUGGGGAGCGAACAGG